CGCCUGGCACGCGGUCAACAUA
rnacentral:misc_RNA from 1 species